rnacentral:rRNA from 1 species
CCUACGGGUGGCAGCAGUGGGGGAUAUUGGACAAUGGGGGAAACCCUGAUCCAGUGACGCCGCGUGAGUGAAGAAGUAUUUCGGUAUGUAAAGCUCUAUCAGCAGGGAAGAAAGAAAUGACGGUACCUGAGUAAGAAGCUCCGGCUAACUACGUGCCAGCAGCCGCGGUAAUACGUAGGGGGCAAGCGUUAUCCGGAAUUACUGGGUGUAAAGGGAGCGUAGACGGUAAUGCAAGUCUGAGGUGAAAGUCGGGGGCUCAACCCCCGGACUGCUCUGGAAACUGGGUAACUGGAGUGCAGGAGAGGCAGGCGGAAUUCCUAGUGUAGCGGUGAAAUGCGUAGAGAUUAGGAGGAACACCAGUGGCGAAGGCGGCCUGCUGGACUGUAACUGACGUUGAGGCUCGAAAGCGUGGGGAGCAAACAGGAUUAGAUACCCUGGUAGUC